UUACGGCCAUAUCACGUUGAAAUGGCGGUUCUCUUACGAUCAACGAAGUUAAGUAACGUCGAGCCUCAUCGGUACCUAGAUGGGUGACCGCUUGAGAACACCAGGUGUUGUAAG